GGCUAUAUCCUGUUGAAACACCUGUUCUCAUAUGAUCACUGAAGUUAAGCAAUGUCAAGCCUUGUCAGUACCUAGAUGGGUGACCACUUGGGAAUACCAGUUGUU